rnacentral:rRNA from 1 species
AGCAGCCGCGGUAAUUCCAGCUCCAAUAGCGUAUAUUAAAGUUGUUGCAGUUAAAAAGCUCGUAGUUGAAUUUCGGGAUCAAGGAAUCGGUCAUGCCUUGGUAUGUACUGGUUUUAUUGGUUCUCACCUUCUAAAGAACCAUGAUGUCAUUCAUUUGAUGUUAUGGGGAAUUAGGACUGUUACCUUGAAAAAAUUAGAGUGUUUAAAGCAAGCUUACGCUUGAAUACAUUAGCAUGGAAUAAUGAAAUAGGACAUCAGAUUCUAUUUUGUUGGUUUCUAGGAUCGAUGUAAUGAUUAAUAGGGAUAGUUGGGGGCAUUAGUAUUCAAUUGUCAGAGGUGAAAUUCUUGGAUUUAUUGAAGACUAACUACUGCGAAAGCAUUUGCCAAGGAUGUUUUCAUUAAUCAAGAACGAAAGUUAGGGGAUCGAAGACGAUCAGAUACCGUCGUAGUCUUAACCAUAAACUAUGCCGACUAGGGAUCGGAUGAUGUUAAUUUUUUAAUGACUCA